rnacentral:pre_miRNA from 1 species
GAGACAAAAGUUCCGGGAAAAGCUUGUCUUGGAGAUUAAAUUCCUUUAAUCUCCAAGACAAGCUUUUCCCGGAACUUUUCCU